rnacentral:rRNA from 1 species
UACGUAGGGUGCGAGCGUUAAUCGGAAUUACUGGGCGUAAAGCGUGCGCAGGCGGUGAGCUGUGUCCGAUGUGAAAGCCCCGGGCUCAACCUGGGAACAGCGCUUGAGACUGGCACGCUCGAGUUGGGAGAGGAUGGUGGAAUUCCCAGUGUAGAGGUGAAAAUUCGUAGAUAUUGGGAAGAACACCGAUGGCGAAGGCAGCCAUCUGGACCGACACUGACGCUGAGGCGCGAAAAGCGUGGGGAGCAAACAGG